GACGGAGGGGGCUAGCGUUGUUCGGAAUUACUGGGCGUAAAGAGUGCGUAGGUGGUUUAGUAAGUUGGAAGUGAAAGCCCGGGGCUUAACCUCGGAAUAGCUUUCAAAACUACUAAUCUAGAGUGUAGUAGGGGAUGAUGGAAUUCCUAGUGUAGAGGUGAAAUGCGUAGAUAUCUGGAGGAACACCGGUGGCGAAGGCGGCAUCCUGGACCGAUACUGACGCUGAGGAGCGAAAGCCAGGGGAGCAAACGGG
rnacentral:rRNA from 1 species